rnacentral:rRNA from 1 species
AACGAACGCUGGCGGCAUGCUUAACACAUGCAAGUCGAACGAGACCUUCGGGGCUUGUUGUGCACGGGGGCGUAACGAGGGGGAAGCUGCCCUUAGGUUCGGAAUACCUCACCGAAAGGGGUGCUAAUACCGGAUAAUCUCUUCGGACCUAAGAUUUAUCGGCUUUGGUUGGGCGCGCGUUGGUUUGGCGUGUGGGUAGGGUUAAAGCCUAACAAGGCGACGGGCCAUAGCUGGGCUGACAGGAGGAUCAGCCACACUGGGACUGAGACACGGCCCCGACCCCGACGGGAGGGAGCAGAGGAGAACAUUGGACAAGGGGCGAAAGCCUGAUCCAGCAAUGCGGCGUGAGUGAGGCAGGCCUUAGGGUUGUAAAGCUCUUUUAGCCGGGAUGAUAAUGACGGUACCGGGAGAAUAAGCUCCGGCUAACUCCGUG